AAUUAUACGAAACAGAGACAGAGGAAGAUUGACAGUUCAGGGGAAAUGUUACAAUACGAAAGGUGUAUAUAAAGAUGACUACUGGAAUCGUUUAGAUUUGCUUAUAUACUGAUGUACAUUUUUUA